rnacentral:rRNA from 1 species
UACAGAGGGUGCGAGCGUUGUCCGGAAUCACUGGGCGUAAAGGGCGCGUAGGUGGCGCUCCAAGUCUGUGGUGAAAGCUCGACGCUCAACGUCGAGUCGGCCAUAGAGACUGGAGGGCUCGAGCACUGUAGGGGCAGAUGGAAUUCCGGGUGUAGCGGUGGAAUGCGUAGAGAUCCGGAAGAACACCGGUGGCGAAGGCGGUCUGCUGGGCAGUUGCUGACACUGGAGGCGCGACAGCGUGGGGAGCAAACAGGG